GAUGAACGCUGGCGGCGUGCCUAAUACAUGCAAGUCGAGCGAACGGACGAGAAGCUUGCUUCUCUGAUGUUAGCGGCGGACGGGUGAGUAACACGUGGAUAACCUACCUAUAAGACUGGGAUAACUUCGGGAAACCGGAGCUAAUACCGGAUAAUAUUUUGAACCGCAUGGUUCAAAAGUGAAAGACGGUCUUGCUGUCGCUUAUAGAUGGAUCCGCGCUGCAUUAGCUAGUUGGUAAGGUAACGGCUUACCAAGGCAACGAUGCAUAGCCGACCUGAGAGGGUGAUCGGCCACACUGGAGCUGAGACACGGUCCAGACUCCUACGGGAGGCAGCAGUAGGGAAUCUUCCGCAAUGGGCGAAAGCCUGACGGAGCAACGCCGCGUGAGUGAUGAAGGUCUUCGGAUCGUAAAACUCUGUUAUUAGGGAAGAACAUAUGUGUAAGUAACUGUGCACAUCUUGACGGUACCUAAUCAGAAAGCCACGGCUAACUACGUG
rnacentral:rRNA from 1 species